CAGCGCCACGAGUGGCAAUCGUGUGUUUGGCCUAAAGCGUCCGUAGCCGGAUUUGUAAAUCUUUUGUGAAAUCGUUGAGCUCAACUUAACGGCGUGCAGAAGACACUGCGAGUCUUGAGACCGGGAGGAGAUAGAGGUAUUCUAGGGGGAGCGGUAAAAUGCUAUAAUCCCUGGAGGACCACCAGUGGCGAAGGCGUCUAUCCAGAACGGAUCUGACGGUGAGGGACGAAAGCCAGGGGAGCGAACCGGAUUAGAUACCCGAGUAGUCC
rnacentral:rRNA from 1 species